rnacentral:lncRNA from 1 species
CGACGCCUGCAGCGCCCCCGAAACCGGCGCCCCUCCUCCGUCCAGAUCUGCUCAGCGCUUCUGCUCGAGCUUGAAACCGGUCGCUGCACCCCCUUAAUCGAGCGACCAACUGAGCCGCUUCCACCGCGCCAAAUCUAGACGCCGACGGCCAGCAGUACCACCAGAUCCCGACGCCGGCGGAUCUGAACCGUCGGCAAGCAUCCGCGUUUACGCCCGUCCC